GCUCCCCGCACCAGGCUUCCUGGGCGUGUCCUCGAUCCAGUACCACCAGUUCCAGCACCACGCACCAGGCCUUCAAUGCGCCUCGCCUGUUCAGCACAGCCAGAGCCUUCCUUCCCUCUAGCGCUGUCGGAGUUUCCCGCCUGUUCAGCGCAGCCAGCGUUUUCCUCCUCUCCUGCGCUGUUGGAGUCUCCCGCCUGUUCAGCGCUUCCAGAGCCUUCCUCCUCUACAGCGCUGCCGGAGCCUCCUGCCUGUUCGGAGCAGCCUGAGCUGACAGACUGUAUGGAGCAGCCUGAGCUGUCAGACUGCAUGGAGCAGCCUGAGCUGUCAGUCUGCAUGGAGCAGCCUGAGCUGUCAGUCUGCAUGGAGCAGCCUGAGCUGUCAAUCUGCAUAGAGCUGCCAGUCUGCAUGGAGCAGCCAAAGCUGCCAGUCUGCAUGGAGCAGCCAGAGCUGUCAGUCUGCAUAGAGCUGCCAGUCUGCAUGGAGCAGCCAAAGCUGCCAGUCUGCAUGGAGCAGCCAGAGCUGCCAGUCUGCAUGGAGCAGCCAGAGCAGCUAGAUCCGCCAGUCAACCAGAUUCUUCCAGAUCUGCCAGUCAACCAGAUUCUUCCAGAUCUGCCAGUCAACCAGAUUCUUCCAGAUCUGCCAGUCAACCAGACUCUUCCAGAUCCGCCAGCCAGCCAGGAUCUGCCGGAGCCAACUACCUGCCUGGGCUUCCUCUCAGUACUGGGCUUCCCCUCAGUACUGGGCUUCCCCUCAGUCCUGGGCUUCCCCUCAGUCCUGGGCUUCCCCUCAGUCCCGAGCUGCCCCUCAGUCCCGAGCUGCCCCUCAGUCCCGAGCUUCCCCUCAGUUCCGAGCUGCCUCAGUCCCGAGCUGCCCCUCAGUCACGAGCUGCCCCUCAGUCCAGUGGGGUUCUGGGUGAGGACUAUUAGGCCAUGGUCGGUGGCGAGGGUGGAUUAUCCCAGGACGCGAAGGGGAGGAACUAUGACAUUAAUGGAGUGGGGUCCACGUCCCGAGCCGGAGCCGCCACCAUGGACAGACGCCCACCCGGACCCUCCCUAUGGUUUUGAGGUGCGUCCGGGAGUCCGCACCUUAGGGGGGGGGGUUCUGUCACGCCUUGGUCAUAGUAUUUUGUGUUUUCGUUCUAUAUUUGGUCAGGCCAGGGUGUGACAUGGGUUUAUUUUGUUGUGUUUCGUAUUGGGGUUUUGUAGGCAUUGGGAUUGCGGCUGAGUAGGGGUGUAGCAUAGGUUUAGCUGCCUGAGGCGGUUCUCAAUCAAAGUCAGGUGAUUCUCGUUGUCU
rnacentral:lncRNA from 1 species